rnacentral:rRNA from 1 species
UACAGAGGGUGCAAGCGUUGUUCGGAAUUACUGGGCGUAAAGCGCACGUAGUCGGCUUUGCAAGUCGGUUGUGAAAUCCCCGGGCUCAACCUGGGAACUGCAUCCGAGACUGCAUUGCUAGAGUAUGGGAGAGGAAAGCGGAAUUUCUGGUGUAGCAGUGAAUGCGUAGAUAUCAGAAGGAACAUCAGUGGCGAAGGCGGCUUUCUGGACCAAUACUGACGAUCAGGUGCGAAAGCGUGGGGAGCAAACAGG